GGUUCUGUGGUCUAGUGGUUAUGACGUCGGAUUCUGAUUCCGUAAACCCCGGUUCAAUUCCGGGCAGGACCU
rnacentral:tRNA from 1 species